AUUGAACGCUGGCGGCAGGCCUAACACAUGCAAGUCGAACGAGUGGCGGACGGGUGAGUAAUGUCUGGGACACUGCCUGGUGGAGGGGGAUAACUACUGGGAACGGUAGCUAAUCCCGCAUACCAUCAGAUGUGCCCAUAUGGGAUUAGCUAGGUGGUGGGGUAACGGCUCACCAAGGCGACGAUCCCUAGCUGGUCUGAGAGGAUGACCAGCCACACUGGAACUGAGAAACGGUCCAGACUCCUACGGGAGGCAGCAGUGGGGAAUAUUGAACAAUGGGCGAAAGCCUGAUGCAGCCAUGCCGCGUGUAUGAAGAAGGCCUUCGGGUUGUAAAGCACUUUAAGUGGGGAGGCGUUACCAGCAGAAGAAGCACCGGCUAACUCCGUGCCAGCAGCCGCGGUAAUAC
rnacentral:rRNA from 1 species